rnacentral:tRNA from 1 species
UCUAGGGUGGUGAAAUGGUAGACACGCACGUCUGUUUAACGUGUGGUAAGUAACUCGCAAAGUAUUUACCGUGGAGGUUCGAAUCCUUCCCCUAGAGCCA